rnacentral:rRNA from 1 species
UACGUAGGGUGCAAGCGUGUCCGGAAUUAUUGGGCGUAAAGAGCUCGUAGGCGGUUUGUCGCGUCUGCUGUGAAAACCCGAGGCUCAACCUCGGGCCUGCAGUGGGUACGGGCAGACUAGAGUGCGGUAGGGGAGACUGGAAUUCCUGGUGUAGCGGUGAAAUGCGCAGAUAUCAGGAGGAACACCGAUGGCGAAGGCAG